rnacentral:rRNA from 1 species
CGAGAGGUGGCAAGCGUUGUUCGGAAUUACUGGGCGUAAAGGGCGCGUAGGCGGCCUUCUAAGUCAGACGUGAAAUCCCCAGGCUUAACUUGGGAACUGCGUCUGAUACUGGAGGGCUCGAGUGCGGGAGAGGGAUGUGGAAUUCCAGGUGUAGCGGUGAAAUGCGUAGAUAUCUGGAGGAACACCGGUGGCGAAGGCGGCAUCCUGGACCGACACUGACGCUGAGGCGCGAAAGCUAGGGGAGCAAACGGGAUUAGAUACCCCGGUAGUCCUAGCCCUAAACGAUGAGUGCUUGGUGUGGCGGGUAUCGAUCCCUGCCGUGCCGAAGCUAACGCAUUAAGCACUCCGCCUGGGGAGUACGGUCGCAAGGCUG